UUCUAUUUCUAUUUCUUCUAUUUUUUCUUCUUCUGCUAUUAUCAUUACAUCUAUUACUAUCUCUGUCUCUUUCUAGUACAACAAGAAUUCUUAUUCUUCUUAUUCUUCUUAUUCUUAUUUUUUCUUCUGCUAUUAAUACUAUUACUAUUGCUAUUGCUACUAUUAUUAUUAGUACUAUUAUUACUGUCACUUUGCUCGAUCAUAAAAAAUAGAAAAAAAGAUAUAUAUAAUAAUAAUAAUAAUCAGUGUCAACACACACUCAUGACAAUUAUUCUUCUUUAUUGCUAAUAUACUAUUACUAAUUGCUACUAUUUACUAUUUACUAUUACUACGAUCACACCAACCAGACGACGAAAUUAUUGCAACAACAACAAAAAAGAAAAAAACCAAGCAGAAUCAUAAGAACAACAGCAACAACAAUAACAACUAUUAUCAACUACAACAAGAACAAUAAUCGUGACGAGGACUCUAUCAUACGAGAAGGUAGUUUAUCUCGUGCCGGUUUUAAAAUCUAAAGGAUUACGUACGAAAUCCUGGACUGUUGUUGUUGGUUUUUCGUUGCCGAGAUAAAGAAGUUAAAAAAGAAAAAAAAAGAAAGGAAAAUAAAGAAGAAGAAAUAAGUAAAAAGAUAGUAGAGUGCAGUGCGUAUCAACAAUUUACCUGUUUUCUCUCUUCUCCUCCCCUUGCCACGUCAUGCAUGACCGGUGAAAGUUCGCUUCAACGAGUGCAUUGAUCUACUGAAGUUAAGAGGACAAAAAAAAAGAAAGGAAAAAUCAUAUUACCAAACAGCAUUGGGAUAAUUUCUUUGAAAGAGCACAGAGAAAAACGCAGGUGACGUAAAUCGAGACGGCGGCGUAUCGGCGAGAAAAAGCUUCGAGGAAGCUAAAGGAGGAGGAGGAGAAGGAGAAGGAGAAGGAGGGGGAGGAGGAGGUGGUGGCGGAAGAGGAAAAGGAAGAGGAAGACGUAAAGUGGCGUAAAAGAAGGAAGAGAAGAAGAAGGUCGACUUGGGAUGAACUUUUUCAUAGAAGAAUAAGGAGCAAUAGCAAUAGCAAAAGCAAAAGCAAAAGCAAAAGCGAUAGCACCGGCAAUAACGUCAGCUUGACGAAUAAAAGGUGUUGGUGGACUAGGGGUGGCAGGAGGUGGGGACGGGGGAGAAGGUUGAUGCGGGGGAGGUGGAGAAGAAGAAGAAUAGGAAGGAGGAACACUUGGUGCGUGUUGUUAUUUGUGGAGAUAUCGUCGAUGAGAUAGAAAAUAUGUUAAAGGGAGGAUAUAAAGGGCAGGGAAUUAUUCGAUAGGAAACAAAUAUUAUAUUUAUUAUAUAUGUGAAAUCGUCAUCAUCAUUUUGGUUAGAUAAAAAGUGUUUUUCGAAAUAAUAAUAAUAAUUAACGAAAGUUUAAUAUAAAUAAAUAAGGAAGUGAUUAUAAGGAGUGAUUUCGUUGGGCCUUUUAAAAGGCUGUGAAGAUAUCA